GAUGAACGCUAGCGGGAGGCUUAACACAUGCAAGUCGAGGGGCAGCACGGGGUAGCAAUACUUUGGUGGCGACCGGCGCACGGGUGAGUAACGCGUAUGUAACCUGUCCUUUACAGGAGGAUAACCCGGAGAAAUUCGGACUAAUACUGCAUAAAGAUAUAAUGAGGCAUCUCAUAAUAUUUAAAACUACGGUGGUAAAGGAGGGGCAUGCGUAACAUUAGCUGGUUGGUAGGGUAACGGCCUACCAAGGCAAUGAUGUUUAGGGGACCUGAGAGGGUGACCCCCCACACUGGUACUGAGACACGGACCAGACUCCUACGGGAGGCAGCAGUGAGGAAUAUUGGUCAAUGGGCGAGAGCCUGAACCAGCCAUCCCGCGUGAAGGAAGAAUGCGCUAUGCGUUGUAAACUUCUUUUUCAGGGGGAU
rnacentral:rRNA from 1 species